CAAGUCUCUAUGAGAAUGCACACUUCCAUACAAGGCUUUCAAAAUGGCGGCUGCAGCUGCCAAGUCCUAGAAUAACCAAGUGCAGUUCGCAAAAACCAAGUCUUGUCUGAUACAAGUGCCAUAUCUACACCACAUGUCUCAGUCAGACAUGUCCCCUGCCCAUUUGUUCCUUUUGCUCAGGCCCAGCUAUUUAUCACCUUCUCACAUUUCUUUCUAGUUAGUCUCACUUUCUGGCUGGCAAGUUCUAGCCCAGCAUUUCCAGCAUUGCAGGAGAAGGGUUAAAGUUAAAGAAGACAUUUCGUCUUUGAUAUCUAACAUAAUGGAAACACAUCUAUUUGUUUCAGAGAUUGGACUCUUCCAGUUGGUGCAAAAUGCUCUCUUUCUGCUUUUCUGCAAAGCACACUGAGUCACCACAUAGCUUUUCACAUUCUUCCUCCUUCUGAUGAAACUUUUCUGCACUGAUCAUUCUGGAAAGCUCCAUGAAACAGAUUCAUGGACAAUAUAAAUAUCACCAACCAGCCAAUGAUGCACAGGACACUCCCAUUCCAGAAGUUAUGAGACAGUCCCAGCUUCUCACCCAUCUAUUCUGCAAGCCCAGCUCACAGGACAGUUAUUGUCCCAGAUGGAUUUAUGGCCUUGCUAUGUUGUGAUGUUGCUGCCGCCAAAUGCAAUGUUAUUACAUUGUGGAUUUCUUGUUUCACAGGUUGAAUACACAAGGCACUUGAUGGGAUUCAUUUAGAUACUGAAGGGAUU